CAGAAGGCUGGAUGCAGGCUGGCCUGAGAACUAGCACACUGCAUGACUAGCUGGUCCUAAAUGGUCUGCUGGAUGUAGCCUGGGAUGAGUGUGAACUCACUGCAUGGUUAUCUGCAGCUCAAUGUUCCACUGGAUGAAGGAAGAGGCCAGGUUGUUCUCACUAUGUGACUAACAGAUGGUUGGAAUCAGGCUGUGGUGAGGUUGAACACACUGCAGGACCAAUUAGACCUAAGCAGUCUGCUGGAUGUAGCCUGGCAUGACUGUGAGCUCACUGCAUGGUGAUCCACUGCUCACAGUUCUGCUGGAUGAAGGAUGAGCCAAGAUCAUUCUCACUAUGUGACUAACAGAUGGCUGGCAUAUGGCUGGGGUGAGGUCUACCACACUGCAGGACCAAUUGAACCUAAACAGUCUGCUGGAUGCAGCCUGGUAUGAUUGUUAGCUCAUUGCAUGAGGAUCUGCUGCUCAUAGUUCUGCUGGAUGAAGGACGAGCCGAGA
rnacentral:lncRNA from 1 species